rnacentral:rRNA from 1 species
CACUCCUGCGGGAGGCAGCAGUGGGGAAUAUUGCACAAUGGGCGCAAGCCUGAUGCAGCCAUGCCGCGUGUAUGAAGAAGGCCUUCGGGUUGUAAAGUACUUUCAGCGGGGAGGAAGGCGAUAAGGUUAAUAACCUUGUCGAUUGACGUUACCCGCAGAAGAAGCACCGGCUAACUCCGUGCCAGCAGCCGCGGUAAUACGGAGGGUGCAAGCGUUAAUCGGAAUUACUGGGCGUAAAGCGCACGCAGGCGGUCUGUCAAGUCGGAUGUGAAAUCCCCGGGCUCAACCUGGGAACUGCAUUCGAAACUGGCAGGCUAGAGUCUUGUAGAGGGGGGUAGAAUUCCAGGUGUAGCGGUGAAAUGCGUAGAGAUCUGGAGGAAUACCGGUGGCGAAGGCGGCCCCCUGGACAAAGACUGACGCUCAGGUGCGAAAGCGUGGGGAGCAAACAGGAUUAGAAACCCGAGUAGUCCCAUGAU